GUUGUUACUGAGGUAGAAAAAAAAUAAUUUGCAAAAGAGAAAAACACGUUUAUAAAACUUGCAAAAAAAAAAAAAAAAGAAGAAAAAAAAAAGACAGACAAUUGUUCAUCAAUUAAACACCCCAAACCUAUAUUUUUCCCCAAUUUCGGAUUCCUCAUACCUCUCUUCCUGUCACUGCAAGCAGCGCCUCCAAACCGAAAGUUGACACAUCCAAACACCAAAUAUUGUAGCUGGAAAAUCGCGAGUCCAGAAACUCCAAAAUAGCGAGACCCGUCAGUGGCUGAUUUUGUGACCUAUUCAUGGCCGAGUUCGUGACAAUGGCUAGCUUUGAGCAUGAAUAUACGGGUAUUUGUUUAUUUUUUUAGACUCACAAACAUUCAAACGCAUAUCAUUUGGGUUUUUUUUUCUUUUAUUAAUGAAGGAGAUUUGCAUGCCAUUUUAUCCCUGGUAGUAACAUGUAACUUGUUCAUCAUUAUCUAUAUUGAAAGUCAUUUUGUCCCAAAUUCACAACCUGCAUCUGUUUGUAGUUUAUGUUGCCUGUUGGAUUGGAAUGGUUCAACCUUUUUUGUAGUUAGUGUAUCUAUACUUUAUGGAUAUGUGGAUUUAUAUAUUUGUUUUUAUGAUUGCAGAUGAAGAUCCCGAUUUCAAUUACUUGGACUAUGAUGUAUACGUGAUGACGAUUGCCUAUUUGAUCGUAAUGUGACCGAAGGCAUUGAAAUAGGUAUGCAUAUUGUGGAACAUGAAGAACGCCAAGAAUUAGAUAGCUCUUUGUAUGCAUCGUCAGAGGAGUUAAACUUCUUAAGUGGUUCAGAUUCGGAGGGGAAUAGUGGUAGACCCAAUUUUCCAAAAUAUUUUGUUGGUAGUGUAAAGAGGAAUCCUCAACUUGAGAUGGGGUUAUUGUUUGUGAAUUUUGAGGAAUUAAAAUCUGUGGUGAGGGAUUAUGCGGUCUUCAAUCAAGUUGAACCAGUUUUCAAACGCAACGAGAAAAAUAGAUGGCAUUGUGUUUGCAAGGAUGAUUGUCCAUGGAAGUUGUGAGCUUCGAAGAUACAAGGUUGAGACAUGGUCCAGAUCAAAAUGUACAACCCCAGGCACACUUGCUGUAAGGCACGUACUAAUAAGUACCUAACCUAUAAAUGGUUGGCCAACUACUAUUUGGAUAACUUCACAUCCAAACCUGAGUGGAAGAUAAAAAAUAUCAGAGCUAUAGUUAGAAAGGAUUUAGGAGUGCACAUCAUAAGAGGGUGGAUUCGAAUGCUAGAAAAUAUGCCAAAGCAUUAGUAGAGGAAAGUGAAGGAACAGUUUGCGAUGUUAGGGUGCUAUGCAACAGAAUUGAGGAGAACAAAUCCAUAUUCAACUAUGCUUAUCUCUCAAGUAGAUAAUGUUUUCAGGGGUAUUUAUGUCUGUAUAGAGGCAUGUGUGGACGCUUUGUCAGUGUUGACAGAUGUUUUCUAAAAGGGAAAUUUGGUGGUCAACUACUAGCAGUUGUUGGCAUAGAUGCGAAUGAUUGUAUUUACCCGAUUGCAUAUGUAAUUGUAGAGAGAGAAAUAACACUAGUUGGUGGAGGUGGUUUUUGAUGUUGUUGUCUGAAUUAUUUUCAGAAGCUGAACAUAUAUUUGUGUUAGGCAUAUGCAUCAGAAUUUCUUCAGGAGUGACUUUAAGGGUAAGGAAUUGAAAGACUAUUUGUCGAUGGAGCAAAAUCCAGUCACUUAGCAUCAUUUAAAUAUUGGAUGGCUAAGAUUGAAAGUGCCAAGAAGGAGGCACAUGGAUGGUUGAUGAAGAAGUCACCAAACGAAUGGAGUAGGUCUCAUUUUUCAGAUCAAUCGAAGUGUGAAAUGCUCAUUAAUAACCUCUGUGAAUGCUUCAAGAACUUCAUUUUGGAAAAAGGGAUAAAUCUUUUAUAGAUAUGUUGGUAGGCAUUCAGAUGAAACUCAUGCACAGAAUUCAGGUGAAGAGGGACAAGUUUAGAAGUUACCAAAACCCAUAUGUCCCAAAAUACAAAAGAAGUUGGGGAAAUGCUGUGAUGCAGCCCAUGAGUGUAUCUUGAGAUGGAACGGGCUAAACCAAUAUCAAGUUGAGUGUUAGUAUGGAGCAGUUGUUGUGGGCAUGGAAAAUAGAACGUGUGCAUGUAGGGGAUGGCUGAUUUCUGGCAUUCCAUGUCCACAUGUCAUUGCUUGCAUUUUAGAUAUAGGUCAUGAGAUAAAAGACUAUGUCUCCAAUUGGUACAAGGUCGAGACCUACAUGAGCAAGUACGAGAAUGUCAUAUAUCCCAUCAAUAGUUAGGAGUUAUGGCCUAAAAUGUGCACAUCCUCCUGUUUUGCCUUCUCCCUGGUAUGUUGCUUCAUAAGAAGAAAACAUAAAAAGAAAAGAAAAGAACCCGAUGAAGAUGGACAAUCCCAAUCACAAAUACAUUCACAAUCACAAGUAAGAAAAAAGGUGUUGUGUACAUGACGUGUUCCGUUUGUGGGGGAAAAAGGACAUAACAAAAGGCACCAUAAGUUCAUGGAAGCCAAGAGGGACUUGGAGAUUAGAAGCUGCAAAAGCACCUGCGGGGAUAAAAAAGUGGAUAUAUUUUGUUUUGUAUUUUGUUCAGAAGCAGCCAAAUCUAUCUGAUAAAUGUCGAAGUUUAUUUUGUAGUAUUUUGCUUUUCUGAUUGUUUAGAAGAAACCAAAUCUCUCUAAUAAAUGUCAGACUUUAUUUUGUAGUAUUUUGGUUUUUCGACUAUUUAGAAGAUAGGAUAUGAUUUUAUCUGGAGCAAUGUAAUUGCACUUGAAUUUUAUAGGCAUUUUGUGCACCUGCAUUUGCUGGUAAAUCUUGUGUUGUGUGUUGACUGGAAAAUUAUCAUG
rnacentral:lncRNA from 1 species